rnacentral:rRNA from 1 species
UAGAUACCCUGGUAGUCCAUGCCGUAAACGUUGGGCACUAGGUGUGGGGCCUGUUUCCACGGGUUCUGCGCCGUAGCUAACGCAUUAAGUGCCCCGCCUGGGGAGUACGGCCGCAAGGCUAAAACUCAAAGGAAUUGACGGGGGCCCGCACAAGCGGCGGAGCAUGCGGAUUAAUUCGAUGCAACGCGAAGAACCUUACCAAGGCUUGACAUACACCGGAAUCAUGCAGAGAUGUGUGAGCCCUUGUGGC